CCUACGGGUGGCAGCAGUAGGGAAUAUUGCUCAAUGGGGGAAACCCUGAAGCAGCGACGCCGCGUGAGGGAAGAAGGUUUUCGGAAUGUAAACUCCUUUUGUUAGAAAAGAUAAUGACGGUAUCUGACGAAUAAGCACCGGCUAACUCCGUGCAAGCAGCCGCGGUAAUACGGAGGGUGCAAGCGUUACUCGGAAUCACUGGGCGUAAAGAGAGCGUAGGCGGGAUCGCAAGUCAGAUGUGAAAUGCUAGGGCUUAACCCCAGAAAUGCAUUUGAAACUGUGAUUCUAGAGUAUGGGAGAGGUAGGUGGAAUUCUUGGUGUAGGGGUAAAAUCCGUAGAGAUCAAGAGGAACACUCAUUGCGAAGGCGACCUGCUAGAACAUAACUGACGCUGAGGCGCGAAAGCGUGGGGAGCAAACAGGAUUAGAUACCCCAGUAGUC
rnacentral:rRNA from 1 species